GACAAGUGGUGGCCUACAUCUCUUCUAAUCUAUCGUCUCGCUCUUCAUUUUUUCUAUAGGCAGCUAUUAUGCUUAUUAGACAUAUGCUAGCUAUCAUUAUAGGCCUAUACAAAAUGCAGAAAUAAGGACCACAUGCCUGUGGCACUUAAGGUAUUCCCUUUUGUCUGGAUAAUUAUGAAUAAGCAAGUGGUUUGAAUAUUAAUUUAUGAUUAAAUUACCAUAAAUUGCAGAUAAUCAAUUAUGUAGAAGAAAAAUAAUACCAGGAAGAUAUAAGACAUUCGGAUGAAACUUGCCUUAAAUAAUAAGGUAAUUUCCCUUGUGUCUUGCUCUCCGAACUUUAUUCUGUCUUUUCACACACAUUGCCCCCCCCCCCCCCCACACACACACACCCUUUGCGGUGUUUUCCGGGAUCACGCCACCACUUCCACUUGGGAUCCUGGCGAUAUGGCUGAUAAUGGAAUGGGACCGUGUUAUUGUCAGCGCCAAACAGACAAACCCAUAGUGUAGCCAUCUUAAAGUCACUGGUCGAAUAGAGCCGUAGAAUAUAUUCUUACAUAGUCUAAAUAUUAAUUAGUGAUUAAAUAGGCCUAUAGGUAUUCCAUAGCCACCUCCUUCACUUGCCACCACGUAGGCUACCGCGGUAGCUGCACAAACUUGUCGCAUACAAUCGUUUGGACUGCCCUAUCUACAGGACUGAGCCUCUCACAUUCCGAUCUUUUCAGCUAGGCCGUGGGCCCCUGGCUGUGUGUGUGAGAUGGACAGGAUGAAGACCAUCAAGCGGAGGCUGUCCAUGUCUCUCCGCAGCACCCGGCCCGUAGACGACUCCCUGUCUGAACUGGCCGAGCAGAUCACUCUGGACGAGCCCUCUGCAGCCAGAGAAAACGACAUGACUGCUGCUUCUGUCCAUAUCUCUGCUGUCAGCUCCUUCUGCCUGGUCUUUAUCUGUCCCCUCUUUUCUCCCUUUCUCUCACUCCUCUCUCCUUUUCUUCUUGUCCUCCUCUCUCCCUCCUCCCUCUCUCUACCCUUCCCUCUCCCCCUCCUGCCUCUCUCUCUACCCUUUGCCUCCCUCCCUCCCUCCCUCCCUCCUCCCUCUCUCUCUACCCUUCCCUCUCUCCCUCCUCCCUCUCUCUCUACCCUUUCCUCUCUCCCGCCCUCCCUCCUCCCUCUCUCUACCCUUCCCUCUCUCCCUCCCUCCUCCCUCUCUCUACCCUUCCCUCUCUCCCUCCCUCUUGCCUCUCUCUUUACCCUUCCCUCCCUCCCUCCUGCCUCUCUCUCCACCCUUCCCUCUUUCCCUCCUCCCUCUCUCUCUACCCUUCCNNNNNNNNNNNNNNNNNNNNNNNNNNNNNNNNNNNNNNNNNNNNNNNNNNUAUUUGGUCAGGUCAGGGUGUGAUUUGGGUGGGCAAUCUAGUUUUCUUAUUUCUUUGUUUGGCCGGGUAUGGUCCCCAAUCAGAGGCAGCUGUCUAUCGUUGUCUCUGAUUGGGGAUCAUACUUAGGCAGCCCUUUCCCCACCUGUGAUUGUGGGAUCUUGUCUAUGUGUAGUUGCCUGCGAGCACUACAUAGCUUCAUGUUUCGUUUUUUUGGUGCUUUAUUGUUUUCUGUGUGUUUCACUUCUCAAAUAAAAGAUGAUGGAACGUACCACGCUGCGCUUUGGUCCGACAAUUCUUAUAUCAAAAGUGACAGGUAUAUUUAGUGGUUUAAGAAGCAGAGGAAUUAGGGAUGAAUUGGGCCAAUGCAGAGGGAAAUCAAAGCCCUGGUUUAAGGGUAUAUUUAGGGGUGUAAGAAGCAGAGGAAUUAGGGAUGAAUUGGGCCAAUGCAGAGGGAAAUCAAAGCCCUGGUUUAAG
rnacentral:lncRNA from 8 species